rnacentral:rRNA from 1 species
AAUACGUAGGGCGCAAGCGUUGUCCGGAAUUAUUGGGCGUAAAGAGCUCGUAGGCGGCUUGGCAAGUCGGGUGUGAAACCUCCAGGCUCAACCUGGAGACGCCACUCGAUACUGCUAUGGCUAGAGUCCGGUAGGGGACCACGGAAUUCCUGGUGUAGCGGUGAAAUGCGCAGAUAUCAGGAGGAACACCGGUGGCGAAGGCGGUGGUCUGGGCCGGCACUGACGCUGAGGAGCGAAAGCGUGGGUAGCAAACA